GAAACAUAAGCUAAUGUUUCUUCCUCUCUCUCUCUACAUUUUCGCCACCGUCCUCCGCGAUGGGUUCCGGCGAGAGUGGCUGGAAUCAUAAAACCUACAUACCACCACAAUCGAUUUUCUCUCGUCGACUAAAAUACACUCUCUAAAUUCUCAUACUACAAACCAACAUAAUUUAACUUCAGUUUCUGAGCAAGAAUCCUAAAUGUUCAAAGUUAAAUUAGACACCAACCAUUCACCCAUUUAAGCGAUUAGUAGAGGGUUGUUGAUCAGGGAGCAUAAGGAACAUACUGGUAACAAGAAAAAUGCAAAGAGAUUGAAGAAAAUAUAAUAUACCAACGGAUGGGAGAUGUCCUCCAGUUAGUGUUAAAUUAUUAUUUUUGGAGAAGAGAGCAAGAAACCCAAAGAACUUUAAUCUUCAGGUAUUGUUCUUUUUCAUAUUUCUUCUGUGCUUUUGAUGGUUGUAUGUUCUUCUUCUUCUACCUUUUCUUUUGAGGUGAUAAUGUCAGUUGUUGUUAUUAAUGGUUAUUCUGAGUAGAUGAGUGUAGAAAGAGAUGAUAGUGAAGUUUUGUGCAAUAAUGGAGAGAGGUUUAGGUGAUUUGUGAGUGAUGGUGAGGAUGGAAUUCUGCAUAGUGAGUUUAUGGAUAGAGUUGUUGACGUGAUGAGUGAAAAUGGAGGGUUUAAAUAGGUGAGAGUUGUAGGUAAAGAUAGUUAGAAAAGUUAGGGAUUAGUGAUUUAGCAGCUGAGGAUAGUGAUCCUCGUGAGAGAUUAAGGAAGGACUAGGAUUGAGUCUCAUUGAAGUUGCUAGAAUUUGUGUUUCUAUAGUGGAAAAUUCAGUGUAAAUGUGUUAGUUUGAAAUGCACAUUUGAAUGGAAUUUGGUGUGAAUUUAGUUUGAAUAGCCAUGGAUAUAAUUCUAAAUAUUGGGGCAACAAGAGAUGUGGUGGCUAAAGAAAAAGGAAAAGUCCCCUGCCACUAGCAUUUUCAACAACAAAAAAUUGAGCAUGAAAAUAAGCCUCUAAACCCUGAUUAUCAUUGGAUAAAAACUGAAUAGCCAGGGCAUGUGCACUUUACCUUCACCAACAAACGCACUAGCGGCAGCAGCAGCUGACAUGGCAGAUGAUUUACCUGACUUAGCCGAUGCAGCUACAACAAUCGUAGCAGCCACUGUGGUUGUAUUCAAUGUUUCUGCAAAUGAUUCAAUGUAGAGCCAUGUAGCAAAAUCAUAUCCAUUGACGAAUGACCAACAACUCUCACCUGGACCAAGCAAACCAGAACUUUUACCAUCAAACUCAAAGGUGCAAGUUGGUACUCGCCCAUAACUGUAGUUGCACAAUCAACAUCUUGAUCUUGCAGUUUAGUCCACCUUCAAGAAGUUUCCGGCACGGUGGUUCAAUCGUGAGGCUCGAAUCAAGGAUUGGAUGGAAAUGAGAGAGAAAGUGUGGAAAGUCAAUAGCAAGUCAUAAUUGUGUUAAGUGGUCAUUGGUCAAUAGGUCAACACUGUUGACCAAAAUUUAACUAUUUUUUUUUUUGUAAUUUUCUUCAUGUAAUCUCUUUUGUAGUGGUUUUGUAAUAGUUUUUGUAGUGGUCUUGUAAUAGUUUUUUGUAUUGGUCUUGAAAUUGUAAUAGUUUGUACUUGAAUGUAAUGACAACUUAAAUGUACUUUGCAACAAAAAAACCUCUUGUAA